GCGGCUGAAAUUUCAGGAGCUGUUUUACGUCGCCGUUUUAACGUACAAAAACAUUUGCAUUUCCCAAGCUGUUUUUUUUUCAUGGUAACUUUAUUGACAACUUAUUUAUUUUACUAGUAGUUAUGAAUUUUCCGUCUUCGUCACAAAAAGAUGAACAAAGAUUCAAGCAUGACAACAAAGCAACGCUGAUGCUUUGCGAGACGGGGGAGCUUGAGAGACACCGGAAAACAAGAGCCAGAUGACGCCCUCAUCGCCAUGAUUGUGAAGGAUACACAGUCCUUCAGUGUUAUGGAUGAUGUUGGAUUCAGGACAUUUGUGUCCAAAUUGGAUCCAAAUUAUGUUCUCCCUACAAGGCAGGCUCUGAAAGUCGUGGUGGAAGCCAAGUCUGAGUCAGCUAUGGAGAAGGCUAAGGCUAAAGUGGAAAAGGUGGUUGGCGUUAGCCUUUCUUCUUACCUGUGGACAAUCCAUAAACGUGGUUGCCUACCUGGCUGUAACAUGCCAUUUUGGGAAAAUUAGGCUUGGUUCGU